rnacentral:rRNA from 2 species
GCCGCGGUAAUUCCAGCUCCAAUAGCGUAUAUUAAAGUUGUUGCCGUUAAAAAGCUCGUAGUUGAACCUUGGACCUGGCUGAUCUGUCCUCCUAAUCGAGCGUACGGAUUCGGUCGGGUCUUUUUUUCUGGGGAGCCUUAUGCCCUUUACUGGGUGUAAUGGGGAACCAGGACUUUUACCUUGAAAAAAUUAGAGUGUUCAAAGCAGGCCUUUGCUCGAAUACAUUAGCAUGGAAUAAUAGAAUAGGACAUCGGUUCUAUUUUGUUGGUUUCUAGGACCGCUGUAAUGAUUAAUAGGGAUAGUCGGGGGCGUCCGUAUUCAAUUGUCAGAGGUGAAAUUCUUGGAUUUAUUGAAGACGAACUACUGCGAAAGCAUUCGCCAAGGAUGUUUUCAUUAAUCAGUGAACGAAAGUUAGGGGAUCGAAGACGAUCAGAUACCGUCGUAGUCUUAACCAUAAACUAUGCCGACUAGGGAUCGGGCGAU